rnacentral:rRNA from 1 species
GGAAUCUUGGGCAAUGGGCGAAAGCCUGACCCAGCGACGCCGCGUGAGGGAUGAAGGCCUUCGGGUCGUAAACCUCUUUCGGGAGGGAAGAACGGCCGCCAGGUGAACAAUCUUGCGUUCUGACGGUCCCUCCAAAGGAAGCGCCUGCUAACUCCGUGCACGCAGCCGCGGUAAUACGGAGGCCGCAAGCGUGGUUCGGAACCACUGGGCGUAAAGCGCGUGUAGGCGGCCGGGCAAGUCGGAUGUGAAAUCCCGGGGCUCAACCCCGGAACUGCAUUCGAAACUGCUCGGCUCGAGUCCCGGAGAGGGUGGCGGAAUUCCCGGUGUAGGGGUGAAAUCCGUAGAUAUCGGGAGGAACACCAGUGGCGAAGGCGGCCACCUGGACGGUGACUGACGCUGAGACGCGAAAGCGUGGGGAGCAAAC